UGCAGUCGAGCGGACAGAUGGGAGCUUGCUCCCUGAUGUUAGCGGCGGACGGGUGAGUAACACGUGGGUAACCUGCCUGUAAGACUGGGAUAACUCCGGGAAACCGGGGCUAAUACCGGAUGCUUGAUUGAACCGCAUGGUUCAAUUAUAAAAGGUGGCUUUUAGCUACCACUUACAGAUGGACCCGCGGCGCAUUAGCUAGUUGGUGAGGUAACGGCUCACCAAGGCAACGAUGCGUAGCCGACCUGAGAGGGUGAUCGGCCACACUGGGACUGAGACACGGCCCAAACUCCUACGGGAGGCAGCAGUAGGGAAUCUUCCGCAAUGGACAAAAGUCUGACGGAGCAACGCCGCGUGAGUGAUGAAGGUUUUCGGAUCGUAAAACUCUGUUGUUAGGGAAGAACAAGUACCGUUCGAAUAGGGCGGUACCUUGACGGUACCUAACCAAAAACCCACGGCUAACUACGUGCCACCAGCCGCGGUAAGACGUAGGUGGCAAGCGUUGUCCGGAAUUAUGGGGCGUAAAGCGCGCGCAGGCGGUUUCUUAACUCUGAUGUGAAAGCCCGCGGCUCAAC
rnacentral:rRNA from 1 species